rnacentral:tRNA from 1 species
GGUAUGAUGGCUGAGGUAAGCGGUGGAUUGUAGCUCCAUGUACAGAGGUUUGAGCCCUCUUCAUACCA